GAGAGAGAGAGAGAGAGAGAGAGAGAGAGAGAGAGAGCAUCACUUUAUUUUGUACAGGGUUCCCUCCCUCUUUAACCCAAAGCUUUUGCUUUGGUCAUAAUAAUGACACUUGUCGACCACCACCAUGCCCAUGGCUGACCAGCUUAAAUUCACAAGAUUUCUCAGACCCCUCUCCUCCCCCACAACACAGCCCCAAUCAGAGAUCUCAGAGAACUUCAAAGUGGGAAGAAAGAAAACAAAAAACAGAGAGGAAAAGCAAAGUUUCUAUCCCAUGGCCAUGGCCAUGCAUCUUUACAUGAUUUUCAUGUCUGUCUCAACAAACAACUACUUGGAAUUGACUACAUGGAUACCUAUCCUGCAGCUGACUCUAUCGAAAAGGGCAAUUCAUCACCAGUUAAGUCGCCUCUGCAAAGUGGGAAGAUGAAGAAUUUUUUGAGAAGAAUGUUACUCUUAUUUUACUACUGACUAAGCUUUAUCAGUGAUACUUUCUUCACUAAUAAUGUUUGCUAAUCUCUGCAGACCUGUGAAAAGUCGUGAGUUAGGUGAGAUUACACUUAGAACACUGCCUUAUUAGAUGACUUCAUGCUACAAACAAAGGACUUUCUUAUACUGAUGCUUUUCACAAAGUUUAGUUUCUCUUUUGCCAAUUGAUUACUUUUAUGCAGUGAAGUUCUGAUAGAUAGGUCAUAUGCAUCUCCACUUCUUUUUUUCAUUUGGUCAAAGGUGCAUUUAGUACCCAUUUCUGUGGGAAAGCAGGACCUUUUUGUAUGGGUUGCUAGUUAAUAGAAGAUUAUUCUAGACCAAAGGAUUAGGCCAUGCAAGUUUUCAGACUGAGCGGUCGUUUAAACUAUACAACUUGUAAAGUUGAUCCCGGAACUUAGCAUAUGUUGGGGUCACAUAGGGGUCUGCAUGAACUCAGAUAGCGGGCUGCAUCUUAUGCCAAUGUCGGUUGCUUCUCUGUAAUCAUGUUAAGUGCUAAUUAUAAGUGCAAUUGAGACAAGGGGCGGGACAACUGCUGUAAGCAGGUACAGGUACUUUCAUGCCAACCCACAAGCAGGCUGAAGUCUUACCAAUGGGAAGUGUAUCAGCAAACAGAGUGUCCUAGUAGUAUCACUAUCAAAGGUUUGAAAACUCUAUAAAUGCUACUUCCGCCACUGGUGGUUUGACAUCAAAAGCUAUCUCGAUAUCUUUCAGUGUCAUCAUUUUUGUUUGUGCCCUGGUGACAUGAAGCAUACUGCUUCUGCUACUGCAGACUUAAUAAUAAACAAAUACUUAACAGAAAGAAAAAAACAGAUUAUGAUAGGACACAACUUACACUUUCUGAAAAUUUUGGGCUGGGAACUGCUGUGGAUAGGGAUCUGAAUAUUGGUGUUACUUGGAGAGGAGAACCAAACUCUGUAUUUGAGAAGGCAGCGAUCAUUCCAUCAUGAUCAUUUACAUCAUCACAUGAUGGCAACAUAUCUGCAGCAAUUUGAGAACAAAUCUGAAAACACUGCUGCAGUAUUCUACCAAAUACAUGAUAACAGAAAUAAACUACUGUAUGCCAGUGCUCACUAAAUAAAAAGAUACUAGUACCUUGAGCACAGGUCGCCCCAGAGAGAACCAUUUCACAAACACCAAUGCUAUUUUGGUCUCCUAUAGGAGUUGAUUGCGACUCUAACAAAGUGUCCUGAUUUUGUGCACAUAGCUUGCCCUGACUGUGUCGCAUUUUAUCACCUGCUGUCUGGGCGAUAAGGGUUGAUCCUGUACUGAAGUCAGAGCUUCCUUGGGACUCCUCAAAUAGAUCCGGUUGUCUAUAGUAACACACAAACAUAUUGUUUAUAUUACGAACAAAAAAUGCUUCAAGCUGAUCAUUGGUGAGCUUCUCUUUCUUACCUCCAAGAUGGCUGAUUGCAAUGACUACCACUUUUUAAGUCCUCUACCAAGUCUUUAAAAUUCUCAAAUUGAAAAUCCAUAUCAGAUAAUUUGAUACCGAGCAUAUCGCUCCCUUUGUUUUGAUUGAGGAAUUCUUGAAGAACCUGAAUGCCACAUAUUUGGUGUAUAUUAGACUACAUCUAUGGUUUAGAACUUUAGCAAUUAACAUAGUCUAUCAAAACCCUGGCAAUACAACCCUACUUUUGACAUAUUUCUGAUAGGAAUCCACACAAUAAGUACAAUCCUUGAAUGGUUCUAUGACUAUCAAAAAUUAAACCAAACUGUUGCUAGAUAAUGGUUUCCAUCAGUGUAAGUGUGCAACCAAUAAGAAUUAAGAAGUAGUUGAUUGAAAGAAAUGAAUUGGCUUUGUUGCUCAAUACCGUUGAAGCAUUAAACUGACAGUGAAUAUCUGUCCAGUGUGCCUAGAGACUCGAGAAGUUUCCUUGCAAUGGACGAUCCAACGAAUAGAACUACCAAAAUGACAAGAAACCCGACCCCUACUUUUCCUCACCUUCCAUGCAUUUUCAAGACUCUGGUCUGUGUUCUCCAUAUUAACCUUGACUGCUAAAGAGCUGAGCAGUUCUGCUUGCUGCAUCAAUGCAAGUAUCCUUGGAUCAUCCUUUUUGAGAAAUGUCCCUUGAAUCUUGUCAUUAGUUACUGUACCUUGAAAAGAAAGGAAGAUCCACAUUGUCACAUCUAUUUAAUCAAGGAUGAGGAAUAAUUAUCAAAGUCUAGCGUUUCUAAAAAUACCAACUCCGAGAACUUUUGUUGCCUGUUCAAUAAAAUAACAGAUGCAGUGAUAUGUACAUGUUGCACAAUGAACCAUCUACUUUGACAAAAUACUGAGUUCAUUUUCCAAAAAGGUUUAGUGACUCACCAUCAGUGGGGUUCUCCUUGGAGUUGCUGACAUGAUGCUGACUUGGCAUGUUUCCUACAUUGUGGAAGUUUUGCACCAGUACUGUGAAUGGAGGUCUUAGCUGCUGAUUUGUUGUUAUUCCACAUUCUCCAGUUAAUGUUUCUCCAUUGUUGCACUUCUCUGUCAGAUCAGAGAGAUGGGUCCUCCUAAAUCACAACAAUAGAGUUAUUUUUGUAACAUAUUUUUGCAUAUUCUCUUGUAAUUUGGGCAUGCAACGCUAUUGUACCUCAUCUUCUUCAAAGAUAUUGCAGUAUCUGAUAUUCCAGCUGGGUUGAACCCAUCUUCUAA